UGUUUGCACUUAGUGGGAAGGGUAAGAACCUUCGACUAAGGUUCGACUCGAGCGCCAGCGAGAGAACGUUGCCACAAGCAACGGCCCGAAGGGCGAGGAGCGAUAGCGACGAGUUAUCCUUCCCCCACCACCA
rnacentral:sRNA from 3 species